rnacentral:rRNA from 11 species
ACUUGAGGUCCUAAAUACUUGAAAGGCAGCAGAUCCUGUCUGAUCCUAGAAGCCAAGUAGGGUCAGUCCUGGUUAAUACUUUGAUGGGAGUCUGCCAGUGAAUGCCAGAUGCUGUAGGCU